rnacentral:rRNA from 1 species
UACGUAGGUGGCAAGCGUUGUCCGGAUUUAUUGGGUUUAAAGGGUGCGUAGGCGGCCCUGUAAGUCAGCGGUGAAAUACGGCAGCUCAACUGUCGAGGUGCCGUUGAUACUGCGGGGCUUGAGUGUUGAUGAGGCAGGCGGAAUUGACGGUGUAGCGGUGAAAUGCUUAGAUAUCGUCAAGAACACCGAUAGCGAAGGCAGCCUGUCAAGCAACAACUGACGCUGAGGCACGAAAGUGCGGGGAUCAAACAGG